UACGUAGGGUGCGAGCGUUAAUCGGAAUUACUGGGCGUAAAGCGUGCGCAGGCGGUUCUAUAAGGCAGAUGUGAAAUCCCCGGGCUCAACCUGGGAACUGCAUUUGUGACUGUAGAGCUGGAGUACGGCAGAGGGGGAUGGAAUUCCGCGUGUAGCAGUGAAAUGCGUAGAUAUGCGGAGGAACACCGAUGGCGAAGGCAAUCCCCUGGGCCUGUACUGACGCUCAUGCACGAAAGCGUGGGGAGCAAACAGG
rnacentral:rRNA from 1 species